UGGAACUCACGGACUUUGAAGGUGGGACUAAGAAUGGCACACUGCAAGGCACAUCCUCUCGACACACACUCACUAGCAUUCAUUGUACGCCUCGGCUCCUUACCGAAAAACUCAGUCAGGAUCUUGAUAAUAGCAGGGACACGAGAGCCAGAGCCAACAACCUCAACCAUAUGUACAUCUUCAAUUGCGAGCCCCGCGUCAGAGAGAGCUUUCUCCAGAGGCCUCUUGACACGCUCCAAGAUAGGGACGCUGAUCUCUUCAAACUCUUCCCUCUUGAUAACACCCCUAACAUCUUUCUCAUCCAUCAAACACUCAAUAUUCAACGGCGCCACAGGGUUAGCGCUCAGAACCUUCUUCAGCUUCUCACACGCAGCCCUGAGCCUAAGACUAGCCUUGGCAUUCUGCGAGACGUCAAUCUUGUACUCCUCCCUGAACUUGGCGGCAAAAUGAUUAAACAGAACUUCAUCAAAGUCCCUUCCUCCAAGAGACCGGUCAAACCCGUGAGACAAGACCUUGAGCUGCCCUUUCUUAAACCCUGCGAUGCAGACUUGCAUGCUCGCAUGACCAAUGUCGAUGAAGGCCACAUUAAGCGGCUCACUCUCCGGCAAAUCCGUCUUGUAGAUACCAUACGCCAAAGCAGUCGCCGUGGUCUCGUGGAUCAAAUGCAAAGGGUGCAAGCCAGCGAUCGUUGCAGCAUCAAGAACAGCUCUCCGCUGCAGGUCAGUGAAGUAAACAGGAAUACCAAUGCAGCAGUCCACCACAGCUGCGUUCAGAUUCUUCUCAGCAAUACCUUUCAAGUUAGACAACAUCAUCCCCAUAACCUGAGUGGGAGUAAACGCUCUCUUCUCUCCCAAGUAAGAAGCGUGGAUCAAAGGGUACCCGUCUGGUCCCUCCGUGACGGGCCUUGGCCGGCGGUGCUUCCGGUUUGGCAACCGGCUUUGGUUUGGUCAUUAUAGGCCUGCAGAACCUGCCAAAACAAAAUCCAAAAAGAUGGUUCAGUCACUUUCCUACUAACAAGAGAAACAACAAAGUAAGAAGAAGCUAUUGCUUUACUUGUCCAAUGCCUCAGCCUUCCUUGUAACAUCAGCUGACAAGAAAGCUGGUGUUGCGUACUUGGGAAGCGCCUCCUGCUGCUGCUGCUUCUCCCUCAUCCAUGCUUCUGCUUCCACACACUCGUUCAAUACCUUCAUUUGCAUUCCACAACAAUAGAUGAUUAAAACACACACAUCUCCACAUUCUUAUGCAAAAAAAAUAAUCAUGAAAUAUCUCAGAGCUCUUGUAGUUAUUAUACCUUUUGCUUAUCUUCUAGUUCAAUGUGGUCAAACUUGGAAUCAUUAGAGACCGCUGCCUCUCUGUAGCUGUUAACACAGUGACCAAGCUGACCAAUGACUGUCCCUCUCUCCUGUGACUCCUUGUAACGCAUCUCAACUGGGUCACCCACCUAACAAUCAAAGUCCAAUCACCAAGCUCUGUUAAAAUCAUUUUUCUAUUCAAGUAAAAUAGCCAAUCUAUCAUAUGUGUAUAUUACCUUCUUGAGCUCCUCGAGCUUUGCAACAUAGACACCUUUAGUCUCAUCUUCUCCAUCUUCAUACAACCAAUCCUCCACUUCCUGCAGCUUCGCCAGGAACGCUUCUCUCUCUGACUCGAUAAUGUACUCAUGGUAUUUGUCACUCAGCUGAAAAUACAAAAACACAGCAAGUAGCCACCCCUUAUAAAUACAUACUCUCGAUGCAUAUUAAAAAAAGAGAGAAGAAAAGGGUUUACUUACUUUGUUUCUCAUAUCAUAAACAUAGGACUCAACAGCAUUCUUCUUGUCCUUGGUCUCCUCCAUAACUCUGUCUUGGAGAGCCAUCUCAUAUUCUUUCUCCACAGCCUUUUGGACCUCCACAGAUUGCAAGGCGCCGUAUACCAAUUCUGACAGAGGUACGUUUGUUUUCUUCACCUUCUUCUUUGGAGCCUCAGCCUGCACAUACACCAUACCCAUUUGAUUAAAUUUCAAGUUCACGAGUGAAAGAAAAUAGCAAGGACCAUCAGCUCAGUAGAGAAAACUAACCUUUGAAUCAGUUUCCAUUUGCACCGGCUCAGGAACACCGUUGUCAGUACCAGCUGCAUCACUGGUUUCCUUGGCGUCUUGCAUGUUAACAUCAGAUUCACCAGAGGCUUUGUCAGUGUCCAUCUGCUCUGUUGUGACCUUAACUUCAACUUCUUCCUCUUCCAAAAGCUGCAACGAAGGAGAGGAAAAAAAAAUUAGCAUAAACUAAACGAUCUCAAGUUCGCAUUGAAUGAAUGAUCAGUUGGAUGAUAACAACACAAACUUACAGUUGCUGAUUCAACAGAGACAAUUCCGUGAAGGGUCAAUCUCACUUUCACCUUAAGCUUUGCCCUCUCGCCUUUUGAUGACUGGAAGGGACCAAUCUGCAAAAAAGGAGAACAACAAUGAGAAACAAGAGCACGCUACAGUCUUUAAUGAUACACACGACAUUGGGCAAAGGAUCAAACCGUGUAAGUACUGAUUUUUGGAGGUGCUUGCAAGUCAGUGGCAUCACUGUACUGCACAUCGACAGAGAAUGUUCCAGAGCGGUAAAACGUCAGAGCCUUGACACUAGGAAUUGAGUUUCCCUUGGGGAAAACAAUGGUGCUCUGCUGAUUCUCAGCUCCUCCAUUUUGAGCAUCAGCCGCUGCUCCUUUCCACGCCAGCGAAAUGGAGAAGGGGAAACUCUCAUGAACCUUUAUCACAAUUAAUAACAUGACUUGUUAGUACUAUACUAGGCGAUAAACACACAUGUUUAAGCAGAGAUAAGCAUCCAUUACCUGGAACUCACGGACUUUGAAGGUGGGACUAAGAAUGGCACACUGCAAGGCACAUCCUCUCGACACACACUCACUAGCAUUCAUUGUACGCCUCGGCUCCUUACCGAAAAACUCAGUCAGGAUCUUGAUAAUAGCAGGGACACGAGAGCCAGAGCCAACAACCUCAACCAUAUGUACAUCUUCAAUUGCGAGCCCCGCGUCAGAGAGAGCUUU
rnacentral:lncRNA from 1 species